GGCCCUGUAGUUUAGUUGGCAGCACUCGUCUAGCAUACAAGAGUCAUGGGUUCGAAUCCCAUCUGAGCAC
rnacentral:tRNA from 1 species